rnacentral:rRNA from 1 species
UACGUAGGGAGCAAGCGUUGUUCGGAUUUACUGGGCGUAAAGGGCGCGUAGGCGGAGCGGUAAGUCACUGGUGAAAUCUCUGAGCUUAACUCAGAACGGCCAAGUGAUACUGCUGUGCUAGAGUGCGGAAGAGGCAACCGGAAUUCUUGGUGUAGCGGUGAAAUGCGUAGAUAUCAAGGGGAACACCUGAGGCGAAGGCGGGUUGCUGGGCCGACACUGACGCUGAUGCGCGAAAGCCAGGGGAGCGAAUGGG